rnacentral:rRNA from 1 species
AACGAACGCUGGCGGCGUGGAUAAGACAUGCAAGUCGAACGAGGUUACUCUUGGUAGCAAUACCGAGAGUGACUUAGUGGCGAACGGGUGCGUAACACGUGGGCAAUCUGCCUUAAAGUGGGGGAUAGCUCGGCGAAAGCCGAAUUAAUACCGCAUGUGAUCAGCCAAGACAUCUUGGCGACAUCAAAGCCGGGGCAACCUGGCGCUUUUUGAGGAGCCCGCGGCCAUCAGCUAGUUGGUGAGGUAACGGCCCACCAAGGCUUUGACGGGUAGCUGGUCUGAGAGGACGACCAGUCACACUGGAACUGAGACACGGUCCAGACACCUACGGGUGGCAGCAGUCGA